UGGUGGAGCGAUUUGUCUGGUCAAUUCCGAUAGCGAACGAGACUCUAGCCUACUAAAUAGUUCGGGGACCCCCACAAAGGGGCCCCGCUUCAACUUCUUAGAGGGACAGGUGGCGUUUAGCCACACGAGAUUGAGCAAUAACA
rnacentral:rRNA from 1 species